rnacentral:lncRNA from 1 species
GAGCUUUUCCGUGCAAAAGGGAACUGCCAAUUAAUUGCAAAUGAUUUAAUUACUAUUUUGCUAUGCACAAUUAACAGCUGCAAAGCAUCCUCAGUUCACCUCUUUUAUCAUGUAAACGAGGUCCUUCUGGAAGUUAAGGCGAGGGCAAGGAGACGCAUUCAGGAUGCAGUCUCCUCUCUUCAUUGUUUGAUCACACCAAGAUAGAUGCUAUGCAAAUCAUCACGCAAGACUAGAGAUACUUUGAGGAGCGCUCUUCACAGCUGCAAACCAGG